rnacentral:lncRNA from 1 species
UUAAAGUUCCAAAAGUGGAAUAAGCUUUUGGGUUGUUAAUAUUAUACCAUCCCUUUGUCUAUCUAUCUAUCUUUACUUUCUUGUAAUCGUUUGUCUAUAUCUAGUGUAAUCCAUUUGUGUUCUUGUCUUGUAACCGUGUGUUGUUGUUAUUGCAUCUUGUUCAUCAAGUGUGGUUGUUGUUUUAGUGUAUUUUACUCUUGAUAUCACUUCCC